AAAAAUGAGUUUUACGAUCACGCCCGAGCCAAUGGCAGCUCCCAUGUCAAUGGCAGAUGGAAACACUACUGACUUAAAUUGUUCUAAUUGCGAUGUUGCAUUACGUUCGGAUGAAUUUAUGCGUUGUUCAACUUGUGUAUGUGCCAGCGAGACUGUCAAAGUGUUUUGUGACACUUGUAUUUGUGCGCAUACUCGUCGUGGACAUAAAAUAUUGGAUCAUAGUGGGUAUGAAAUAUCCGUAUGCGAUGACCACAAGAUUAUAAAUGAUCUGUUUUGUAUACCGUGUUCGCAAGUGUUGUGUAGCAAGUGCCUUCAUAACCACAGAGGUCACAAGUAUCUUACUAUGGCAGAGAAGCGAGUUGAAUCCACAAAACAAAUUUUUGAAUAUCUUACGGAUUUCGAAAUUCUGAGCAAAGACAUAAAAUUUCAUGAAAUGAUACAACUUGACGCUGCAGACCAAAGAAACACUUAUACCGUUGAAGAUAUAAUUGAAAUUAUAGUUAAAAUGAGUGAAAAAUUGCUUCGGGAAACUGCAACGUCGCAACAGCAAAAACCGAAACUUGAACAACUGGCAAGGGUUUUAAAUGAAAAAAAUAAAGUUGCAUCUCAAGAGCUUCAAAAGCAUACACAAUUAGUGAAUGAAAGCGACUCAUUGGUCAAGUCACUGCGUGAAAACUUACAGAACUCAAAUAGCGUUUUGGUGGAAAAUUUUUGCAAAGUUCGAAAAAGCUUGGAACAAUCUUUGGAGCAGCAAAAUCAAGUUUUGAAGACUCACGCGUGCUUGAAAUUAUUACAUUUUGAGCGAGCUGAUUUAAAACUUCUCAUGGAAAAUGUUUUCGAGGUUUGUUUGCGGUCAAUUGAAUGGCCUAAAAUUGCUUACAUGCCUUUUGUAAAAAAGAAAUUAACAAAAUGUCAGUUAUUCCCAGAGAUUGACCGAAAUCAGACACGAAGUUGUCUAAAAAUGUCCGUCUUGGAAGGAAAUUACUUUUUAAUGGCUAAUAUACAGGAAAGUAACCUAUGCUUUUCUUUGCUUGCAUAUGUUCCGGGUCCACAGCAUUGCAAAAUGUGCCAGAGUUCUUUGCUUGAGUUAGUUAGAGCUCGAGCAAACAAGAUAGCAACAAAAAAGGGAAGAUAUUGUAGUUUGUGCGAGAAGGAUGAAUCUGGGUUACGAGUAGCUCUUUUUAAAAACAGGAAAUUAUCCAUAACUGUUUCUACAGAAUUCUGGCGAAUUCGCCAAUUUGUUAAUUUAUCGAAUCAGCCAAAUUCGUGUUAUUUUGCGCUGCUGUUGUCAGCAGAAGUUUUAGUCCUCCAUGUCUUUCAACCGAUUUACAUAACUGAUAGGGAAGCAGCGAUUAUUACAUCAGAACCGUUUCCCGGUAUAUAUCCAUCAAAUUGUCUCUACUUUUUCAAUAACCCAGAGCCGAAUUGUCUAAUUUGGGAUCCAGAACUGAAAGUCAUCCGGCCAUUUUUCGAAAUUGUUGGCUAUGAAAAUAUUCCUUGCGAUGAGAAACCAACUCUACUGACGUGCAGCAAAGAAUUCAAUUUAAUUGCUGCGUAUUUUCAUUCCAACGGUUUACUCACAGUUUUCAAGAAUAACAAACCAUCUCACUUAACGCUUUCACACCAUGGAUUACAACGUGUUGACUCCGUAUUCUUCAAUGACCAAAGCGUUCUCCUAGCUUGGAAUCUCAGAAAAAAGGUAUGUGUGGCUUUUCGUGAGAGCAUUAACUCAAAUUGGAUUGCAGUUAAGGCGUUUCAGAUAGAGUUGGAGAAUGAUUUGAACGAAUCGACUUGGGAACGCGUCGAACAUAGUAGCUCGCAUAUUUUCGUAUUUUCAUUGGGAGUAAUUGAACCCUGGGCUCUGCCAAUGAUAACGAUAUCCAACUAAUUGCCUAAACAUAGAUUUUCUAUUUGGAACUUUUGUGCAUAAUUUUCAUAUAUUUUUUUAACUACUGGAACUCCACGCAAAAUAAUUGUACUUAAGAUGAUGAGAGCAUAUUUAGUUUGGCUG